CCAGCAGCUAAAAGCAGAACUUGGCCUGCAGAGCAAUACUUCGGUCAGCUAUCGAAUGAAUGAAUAAAUAUUACCAGACGUCUCAGCUAAGCCAGCUGGCGCUCACAGGCCCUGGACCCGGUCCCUGUUCCUCUGGAGUCCGAGCUCUGAAACAGGCCCCAGCAAUCCUCCAAAACCCCGCGAGCUGAGCACUAACGGGGGCGGGGGCUGACAGGAGGCCCACAGGAGCCCGAGAGCGCAGGCAGUCAGGGAAGUUUCCCAAAGGAGGGAGCCACUAAAUGUGCAGCAG